rnacentral:rRNA from 1 species
AUACGUAGGGGGCGAGCGUUGUCCGGAAUUACUGGGCGUAAAGGGUGCGUAGGCGGCCGGUUAAGUCAGAUGUGAAAUACCAGGGCUCAACCCUGGGGGUGCAUUUGAAACUGGUUGGCUUGAGUGCAGGAGAGGAAAGUGGAAUUCCUAGUGUAGCGGUGAAAUGCGUAGAGAUUAGGAGGAACACCAGUGGCGAAGGCGACUUUCUGGACUGUAACUGACGCUGAGGCACGAAAGCGUGGGGAGCAAACAGGAUUAGAUACCCUGGUAGUCCACGCCGUAAACGAUGGAUACUAGGUGUAGGAGGUAUCGACCCCUUCUGUGCCGGAGUUAACGCAAUAAGUAUCCCGCCUGGGGAGUACGGCCGCAAGGUUAAA